GUGGGGAAUAUUGGACAAUGGGCGAAAGCCUGAUCCAGCCAUGCCGCGUGUGUGAAGAAGGUCUUCGGAUUGUAAAGCACUUUAAGUUGGGAGGAAGGGCAGUAAGUUAAUACCUUGCUGUUUUGACGUUACCGACAGAAUAAGCACCGGCUCACUUCGUGCCAGCAGCCGCGGUAAUACGAAGGGUGCAAGCGUUAAUCGGAAUUACUGGGCGUAAAGCGCGCGUAGGUGGUUUUGUAAGUUGGAGGUGAAAUCCCCGGGCUCAACCUGGGAACUGCCUCCAAAACUGCAUGACUAGAGUACGGUAGAGGGUAGUGGAAUUUCCUGUGUAGCGGUGAAAUGCGUAGAUAUAGGAAGGAACACCAGUGGCGAAGGCGACUACCUGGACUGAUACUGACACUGAGGUGCGAAAGCGUGGGGAGCAAACAGGAUUAGAAACCCCAGUAGUCC
rnacentral:rRNA from 1 species